GUGUGCGUCCUCAGCUGGCAGCCAUGGCUGGCGGGUCCUUCCUCGCACGUGCUGCGGCCCUCACCUUAUCUUCCGUCAUCAGGGCACAGGCGCCGUGCAGGGCUAUUCCGAGUCCAGGUAAAGAUGGCUGAGCUCGGUGGCAGGAGGUCAGCCUGCAGUGGAGCAGGGACGUUUGCCCUGGGGAGACACGUGCCACCGGGUGGACAUCGAGGCCCUGGGGGUGGCCCUACAGCGUGGAAGGGAUGACCGAGCUCUGGAAGAUGUCCUGUCUAGGAAACCUAAGGUGCUAGAGUUAGAAGAAACUUGAUAGCACUUCAGAGACCAUCAGGCUGUUUCGUGGAACUUCCACCAAAGAGAUGCAGAAAUGGAGACUCCAGAGCUGGAGAGAGAGAUGACUCAACGGUUAAGAGCACUGACUGCUCUUCCAGAGGUCCUGAGUUCAA